ACUGACUUCACUUUUUUCUUGUCCUGUUUUUUCUCUUUCAUGUUUUGUUUGGUUGCCGAGAAAAAUAUGAGUCCCACCUCUUUAAAAUCUGUCUUUCCCUUCUCAAAAGCGUUGGAACAAUAUGACACCAAGGGAUGUGCAAUUUUAUGGCUCAGAUGAGUUGAUUUGUGAGAGACGAAUUAAAGAAAUAAAAGAAAAUAAUCUGUUACGCUAGUUGGUUAUGAUGUGGUUUUAGUUUGUGAUGUGAUUAGCUUCUCAUGUUUUGUUGUGUUAGGGUUUACUAAUUUCCCCCAUACAGUGAGGGGUCCAAGUUUAAGUUACUAUGAAGGUCGUGUUGGAGAUUUUCGUACCUAUCUUUUGUUCCGGCCAUGAUUGCAGGGAACCGCGUGGCUUUGGUUUUGUGCAAUAUGUAGACCAUGCUGAUGGUGCAGAAGCCAAGCAUCAGAUGGAUGGUCAAAUUCUUUUGGUUGGUGAGCUUAAUAAAACAGAAAGAGCCUUCAGAUAUGAGAACGAAGAAACGUUAUAACUUAUAGGGGUCCAUCAUAUUACUGGAGGAGCCUUCACCUUCGCUGCUAUUCUCGAUCACCAUGUAGUAUGAGUUCUUACUUCCCCAGCCCUUGAUCAUUAUUCUCCUUCCCCUAGGCAAACAUAUUUCUCGUAUUUAAUCGGUUGAUCUACUUAUAAAAAAAGGGGUAUAAAAACGGAAACAUGCUAUAUUAUUCUCUGAUGUCUUAAAUUCUAAUACAGGUCAAUUGCACCUGUAUCCAUGCCAGUAAUCAUCAGCUGUACUAGUGGUUUGGGCAGUGAGUUUACUAUUGUAGUUCACUAGGGGGCCUAAAUCCUUUAGAACAUUUAUGUAAAUUUUAACCUAUUAACAUGAAAUACCACAUAACAUCUUCCGUCUGUGUGGUGGCUGUGUUUUUUGCUUCA